rnacentral:tRNA from 1 species
GCGGGUGUAGUACAAUGGUUAGUAUACGACCUUGCCAAGGUUGAGAUGAGGGUUCGAUUCCCUUCACCCGCUCAA